rnacentral:rRNA from 1 species
UACAGAGGGGGCAAGCGUUGUUCGGAAUUACUGGGCGUAAAGGGCGCGUAGGCGGCCUUCUAAGUCGAACGUGAAAUCCCCGGGCUCAACCCGGGAACUGCGUCCGAUACUGGAAGGCUUGAAUCCGGGAGAGGGAUGUGGAAUUCCAGGUGUAGCGGUGAAAUGCGUAGAUAUCUGGAGGAACACCGGUGGCGAAGGCGGGUCUCUGGACAGUUCCUGACGGCUGAGGCACGAAGGUCAGGGGAGCAAACGGG